AUCGCAUUUACCUGUUCCUGUAUGCAAAUAUACUGCACGACUGGAGUGUACACUACACAGUACAUACACUGCAAUGGCAGUACGGCCGCAACACUGGCACACGUACGUACGUACGGGCUCGUCGAUCGAAGCCGUCACGUCACGCGGUGCCAUCGACGCGCGCCUUGGUGACUCCGGCGCAGGCGUCGACGAAGUCGCCGUCGAUGAAGUCGGUGGAGAAGACCUGCAGCUUGUCGCCGAGGCCCUUGGCGAAGGCCUCGGCGAUGAAGAGCCGCGCGUAGCCGUGGAUCCGCUUCGUGACGGGCCACACGCACAGCACCGGGUUGUCGGCCUUGGGCGUCACCGUGUUCUCCACCCGGUAGAAGAACCUCCGGCCGGCCACCGGCGGCUGCUGCCCCAGGAACUUGAGGUUGCUCUCGAACUUGGUCUCCGGCAGGUCCGUGUCGAUCCAGUUGUCCUUGAGGUAGCCGGCGCUCCACAGCGGGUCCCCGGGCCUGGGCGGCGGCGACUUGCGGGGCUUCCAGACGCAGAUGACCCGCCGCGGGAGCAGCUCCGCGACGGUCCUGUGGAACACCGCCUCGUCCUGCGGGAUCAGGUGCUCGCCCAGCUUGUCGGCCAGGAACCUGUCGAACCCCGGCGGGUCCUCGUGCCCGAACUCGGUGCGGAUCUCCAAGAUGACCAGCUCGGACUCGGUCUCGCUCAGGAACCGGCUCACGUCGUCCAGCACCACGUCCACGGGGUACGUCGCCAGGAUGCCGUGGCAGACCCGGCGCUCCUCCUGCACGCGCACGUCGACGACGCGCGUGCCCAUGGCCAGCUGCUCGUACACGGACAUGGACUGGCACUGCGCGAAGGGGCGGGUCACCAGCGGCACGCCGAUCUUGUUGGUGGCCGAGUCGUGCGUGCCGGGCCACACCACCUGGUGCACGCGCAGCUUGUCGGCGCCCAGCUCCGCCAUCCACCGCUUCCGGUCCGCCGGCCGGUGCUCCGACCCCGGGAACGUGUCGCCGGAGGAGGACAGCCGCGUGGCCAGCGCCCGCUUCUCGGUGGUCACCAGCUUCCGCCGGUCCACCUGCUUCGAGAAGAAGGCGCCCAUGGCUUCCAGCGGGUUGCUGCUGCUGUUGGAAUUGGAGGAAGCCAUGGAUGGAUAAAUUAUAAAGGGAGUCCUGUGCCUCGAGCUCAGACCUGGACCUGGACGUCGCUGUAAGCUGG
rnacentral:misc_RNA from 1 species